rnacentral:rRNA from 1 species
AUGGAAGGGCAUGCCUCUAGCGGAGGUGGCUCGGUCUCGGAAACCACACAAACCAAUGACGCACUAUCGGAUGACCUCUUGGCAUGACUGAAUCUGCAAGAAGAAGAAGAUGACGACUUUGUGUGGGAGGAGGAGCUCCAGGAUCUGAUGACGCUGGCCAAGUGGCUGGCCAUUGCUAGGGUUCAUACCCCCAAGACCUUCAGUCCAAGAGCGCUGUAUGGUGAUAUGCGUGCGGCGUGGAAUCCAGCAAGACUGGUAGCCUAGAGGAGGGUCAAUGACAACCUUUUCACAAUGCAGUUUGGAUGCUUAGCAGAUUGGAAUAAGGCAAUGUUUGAAGGUCCAUGGCUUUUCAGGGGACAAGCAGUGAUAAUGAAGGACUGUGAUGGUUUUAAGAAACCCGAAUCCAUCCCACUGGAUAGAUUGACAGUGUGA